CAGAAGCCCAUUCGUCUAAUCGUUUUGCUAGAACUACCGGGUAGUCGCGUGUCCACUCGUGCGGGUAUAGUUAUGAUACGGAAAUUUUUACAACAAAUGAGGAAGUUUUAUUGACAAUGUCAAUUGCAUUGACAACAACUCGGGAAGUAAAACAUAUCACCAGCUGUCGAGUGUGACAUGCCGCGAUUUUUAAUGCUGAAAUCCCAAUUACGAGAUUUUUUCUUUUUACUCGAUUUUUUCUGGCUUCGGUGCACGAUUCAAUCGUGUUUUUCCGCACAUAAUUGCUUGCAUCAGACUCAUCGAUUAUCAUUACGUCAGGCUAAAUAAGUAGGUUCGAGGAUAGUUCAGUUGAAGUAUGGGGAUUGGAUGGGCCAGAGUGGGGUGACAGCGCGAUACGGUAAAAACGUCGCAUCGAAUUGUUUCUUUGAAAUACGACAGGGGCACAGAGUCGUCAGUGUAUGCGUGUUGUAUUAAUUGUUUCCAAGUUUUUUUCCCUCAAGGACAAGGUGUGUGGGUCCGAGAACCGGUGGAUUAAUCGCUAAAUUACGUCUAAGGUAUUUCCGGGCUAAAAACGGGGAAUUUUAGACAGUGACGAAAUGGAUACCGUGAAGAAGACGGAGGUGGCAUUGGGAUGAGCCCAAAAUUUCAUGCGACUCAGUAAAUUUAACUACAAGGAGUCAUUCAUUAGAUCACUUGCGAAGAAAACUUCCUCAGGAAGAGGACAAUCCGUGUGUGGUUUACAAAUGUGAGAUAUUCCUGAAAUUGGAAAUAUCUACGAAUAUCUGUAUUUUAGAAUUAUUUUCAUAAUUUUUGGGAAUUAUAAUUUCGUUGACACAAUUCCCUUGAAAUUCAACGUUAGGAAAUUCGUAUUAUUUUAUACUAAAUUACGUGGAGUUUGCUGAAUGUUAAGUAAAGUCAGAAAUUCCACCAUUUUUUCCCAUAGUGAGAAUUAAAUGUCAAUUCUUGACAAUUCUGGAAAUUGCGGAGAAAAUUUCAUUCCAUAUUAUUCUAAAGAAUUUCUCUCAAGUUCGAGAUGAAAAAGAAAUAUGUGAUUUUUCCAUUUCAUCAUCUUUUCAAGAUCAUGUGUCACAAUUAUAAUUACACUAACAGAAUCACUUGUUUUGAGAGUUUUUCCGUCGUUUCCUAGAAUCAGAAUUAAGAAUAUUUCCCUCGUUGCAAGGUAACCUUUCAUCUGUAGAUAGGACCAGCCCGUUCGCGUCAAAUUAGCAACUUCCGCGAUUGGCUUUUCCUCUAGAUUUGACUGGCAUCAUCUUUCCCUUGAGUCAUGCAAAAAAUAAAUAUCAAGCACGAGCCCGAUCCCCCCUAUUUCUGAACAUCAUCAUCAACAUAUUUAAAAAACCGAAAGUUCCCUAUUCAAGAAAAUUUCCGUCUCCCCCCAAUAGCUGAAGGAAGUGCCAGUCGAGGGAACAAGUCAUCGAUUUCAAAUGAAAUAAUUUUUUCCAUUACAUUAGGCAAUAAGAACUCCUGAGCUCAUUCAGUAUCCCUCCGUCAUCAAUAAGUAUUUACCUCGGGUGCUGGUAAACUCAUAUAUUAACAAUGAUUUUUCGUCCAGCAUCAUUAAUCAGCGAAAGCCGAUUAGAUUAAUGGUUAAUCGAUGGGACAUCUCGACAUUUACCCCGGGAUCAUAGCCCAUAGCCUGUGUUUCUUUCUCCCCCUUCAUCGCACCCAUAACGCGUUUAUCCAUGUACACAUACACAUGCAUAUGGUGGCUAACCUCAAGAGAACAAAAUGACAAGACGAUUUGCUUGGGAUGACUAAUGGUCGCCGGCCAGACUCCAUCUCAUCCAGUGAUUGAAGAAAAAAAAAAAUACACCUAAGAAAACCGGUACGACGAAAAGACACCCACGACCUUUUCCACUUCUCUCUCUUGGCGCGUCGUUACAGAAAUAAUGUAUCCCGACCUACUUGUGUACUUUACACAGCAUUGUCCAAUGAUUUCCAUCGGUGCAACACAUUACCAAUUUCAAAGUUGACCUAUUUUUUGUAUUCUACAAGCCAUCAGCAUCACUAGAAACAGUUUCCCAGUCUCAAGUGAAGCAAAAUGAGUGAAGCGAGGAGAAAAAAAAAAUUUACGAGUGAAAACAGAAAACGAGAGGAUCGUAAAAUAACAAGACAAUGAGUUGGAAAAACUGAGGAAGUGGAGUGGGUGAGGUGGAGGGUCAGAAGAGAAGUAAAAAAGUGACUGGUAUCUCUCAGUUGAUUUUGUGUAUGUUCUUUCAAUAAUAAACGCCUGCAGACAGCUUGUCGCUGUGCGCGAUCCGAGCUUCAUGAAUUGUGCAAUUAUUUCGCCUCCACUCUCCUCUCGUUCCCCCGCUAGAGGAGGGGAAGGGGUGAGGGGGAGGAGUGACAUCGAUAGAUAUCUCGAGUGGUACAAUGUGAUCAGAGACACGUAUCCACAAGAUUGAAUAAAUUUGUUGGGGCCUUCGUUGCGCUGGGCAAAAGUUCACUAGCUGCGACGUUGUACACCUCUGUCGGUGGCCAGAGUGGUCUGAAGAGGUAGUGACACAUGGGAAAUACUAACGAGGACUAUAACUGCAUUGCAACGAGGAAUGGUCGAGACUGAGGACUGGAAGGGAGCAGACAACGUCACAACAAUACAUCUCUUUAGCGACGACACAAUAAAUCAAAAUAAACCCGAGCAGUGUAGGGGAGAAAACAGGUUGGGCUGCACCGCGGGAGUCUGCAACGACACGGGACUUUGGGCUCUAUCGUUUGUUAUUGUAUGUGUACGUGUGUGAGUGCGCACAAGUCGAGGUUCUUGGGACAUGUCAACAGGUAUCAUCCCCCUUCUAAACGCUGAGGCUAUACUGAGCUAAGGUUGAGGAUGCUCCUAUAUCCUUAUUCUGCACAUCUUUGGAGUGCGACUGAAGGCAGAAACCAAUUGGAAAAUUGUUCAAAGGGAAAUUACAAGAAAUUAGAAGCCGAAGGUGAAGGACACCCUCGCGAGGAAAAAGUUCGUGGAGAAUUGCGACUGUGAGUGAGGCAUUUAAUCAGAGAAAAUUUCUCAUGUGAACAUGAGAUAAAAUUUCUCUUUCCCAAUGUGAAAUAAAAAUAAAUCUCCCGAAAAUUUCGUAUGGAAAUGAAGGAACCGCCCUUCGACUAGAUUCCGUAUAUUGAACAUUCAUCGAACCCCUCCAUCUCACCAUAUCUCCUGUACUCCCCUUUGCCUCUUCUCCUCAAACUGAAAAAAAAAACUAUUUCAAGAGAAUUUGAAAUGUCAAAGACCCCGAUGAUGAAGCACGUUCACGAAAUUACAAGGCGUAAACAAAGUCAACUCAGGGGUUGUUUUCCACUAUCCGAACAGGACAAACCAGGAUGAAAAGCACAUUUUCCCGCUUAUUACAUUCAAACACCAACGACUCGCGUAGUUGAGCAUUGAAGGAGAGAGAUGAGGAUGAGACAGCAAUGAGAGGGGAGAGAGAGAGUAGGGAUGAUGUCCUCCAUGUUCGCGUUGAGGUCGAAAGGCCACACUCGAGAAAUAUAUAUCACGAGAUCGCGUUGAUAAAACAGACUGAGAGCCCCCACGUAUAACUGCUGAUCUUCGCCAGAGACAAUAUUUAUUUCCCUCCGACUCCCACAACCCCCUCCGCCCUCGACGAUUUUACUCGAGACUUAUAUCGAGCCAUAUAGUUUGACAGAACUUCUUCCAUUUAUUUAUUUUUGUUUAUCUCCCUUGCUUUUAUUGUUUUUUUCGCAUUUAUAUCGCUGGAAACGGUGAAACCGUGUCGAUUGAAUGAUAUUUGCCGGGCCAAGCGCUUGGAAAUGGCGAGAAGCUUCAAGGGUGUAUCCA